rnacentral:tRNA from 1 species
AAGAGAGACAUAAUGGUUAUGAUAUCGGCUUGAAACCGGUUUUAGGAGGUUCGAAACCUUCCUCUCUUG